rnacentral:misc_RNA from 1 species
GAAAUGCGAUAAGUAAUGUGAAUUGCAGAAUUCAGUGAAUCAUCGAAUCUUUGAACGCACCUUGCGCUCCUUGGUAUUCCUUGGAGCAUGCCUGUUUGAGUAUCAUGAAAUCUUCAAAGUAAAUCUUUUGUUAACUCAAUUGGUUUCUACUUUGGUAUUGGAGGUCUUUGCAGCUUCACACCUGCUCCUCUUUGUUCAUAAGCUGGAUCUCAGUGUUAUGCUUGGUUCCACUCGGCGUGAUAAGUUAUCUAUCGCUGAGGACACUGUAAAAGGUGGCCAAGGUAAAUGCAGAUGAACCGCUUCUAAUAGUCCAUUGACUUGGACAAUACUUUUAUGAUCUGAUCUCAAAUCAGGUAGGACUACCCGCUGAACUUAAGC